GGGAGAGUGUGUGGAGGGAUGUCGGUGUGGGGAGAGUGAGUUAUAGGGAGAAUGUGGGCUGUUAUGGGAGAGUGGGU